rnacentral:misc_RNA from 1 species
UACGAACCGUACAAACGUUAUUCGGAAUCACUGGGCUUAAAGAGUGCGUAGGCGGCCACGCAAGUUGGGUGUGAAAUCCCUCGGCUCAACCGAGGAAUUGCGCUCAAAACUGCAUGGCUUGAGGGAGAUAGGGGUGAGCGGAACUAAUGGUGGAGCGGUGAAAUGCGUUGAUAUCAUUAGGAACACCGGUGGCGAAAGCGGCUCACUGGGUCUCUUCUGACGCUGAGGCACGAAAGCUAGGGGAGCGAACGGG